UACGGAGGGUGCAAGCGUUAAUCGGCAUUACUGGGCGUAAAGCGCGCGUAGGUGGCUUGAUAAGCCGGUUGUGAAAGACCCGGGCUUAACCUGGGAACGGCAUCCGGAACUGUCAGGCUAGAGUGCAGGAGAGGAAGGUAGAAUUCCCGGUUUAGCGGUGAAAUGCGUAGAGAUCGGGAGGAAUACCAGUGGCGAAGGCGGCCUUCUGGACAGACACUGACCCUGAGGUGCGAAAGCGUGGGUAGCGAACAGG
rnacentral:misc_RNA from 1 species